UUAGAUGCUUUGGAGUCAUUCAGGAGCACCUGACAAUUUUUCAAAAUGAUGGUUCAAUCAGUUGUCCUGGCUGCUAACUGCCAGGCUGCUGGACUCAGGAAUUCAACGUUUGUUGAUGAUAGAAGAAAUGCAAGAAAUGAAAUGGCCGAUGAGAUUUCUACAUGUUUGCAAGAACAUCAAGAACAACAAGAAAAUAAUUGCUAACCUUGCAAUCCCACCUUUUAACAAAUACACCACUCUUUUGUGCACCAGAAUGGAAAAUCUCGUAUUGUUUCCCCAUUAUAUUCCAUCUGGCAUGUUCUCACCCACUCACUCACAUUGUCCAUAUUUAACCCAAGUCAGGUUGAGUUGAGUUUGCUGCCAUAUGCACAUGUACGGUGAUGUACAGGUACAAUGAAAAUCUUUCUUGCAGCAGCAUCACAGGCAACAUACAAAACAUAUAUCAUACAUCUGUAUGACUAUAAAUUUCACAUAAAAUUAUACAUAAAUUCUUCGUCAGUAAAAGAAAAAAACAAGACAAUACAGUAAAACACAAUUGAUAAAACAAGUCUGCAAUAGUGCAAGAGAUGUUCUGUGUUCUGUGGCUGAUGUAGUAUUAGGUUUGUGCAAGAACCUGAUGACUAGGAAAGUAGAACAAUAUCCAUUUGUAGAAAGUAAAAAAAUAUAAAAUGAAAGCUAAGUUAACAACUUUUAUUUUGUUUUCUCUCAUCUUCUCUCAUCUCAUGCACCACCGGGUGGCGCUGUACCUGGCAGCCUCGCCAACAGCCUGUCUCAUCUUUUUCUUCUUUUGCUGUUUUGGUCUGUGUUCACUUGUAUGUUUUUAGUGUACUUUUAGUUUUUGGAUUAUGUGGGGAUGAGGGGGAGGGUUGGGGGAAAACCUUUUUUAUCUCUUUCCUUGACGGAGAUGCAACUUUGUCCAUCGUAUCUCCGUCUGCACUGCGGCUUUAACAUCGUGGAGUUGGCAGUCCCUUUGUUAGGGAUCGACUGCGGGAGCUCCAACUGCAGGAGCUUCGACAGCCCCGAUUGCGGGAGCUUCAAUCGCAGACUGCAGGAGCUUUGAUCGCCCCAACUAUGGAGGUUUCGAUUGCUCCAACCGUGGGAGAAAAGGAUGAAAGAAUGUAUGUUAUUUGCUUCCAAUGGGGAAUGUGAGGUCACCGAAAAAAAUAAGAUGGACAUGCUGCGUGCAUUGGUGAGGACUCGGAGGGAGUGCCGUGAGUGCAGUGAUCUCGGUAUUUUGUGGGAACAUGGCACGAUGAGGACAUCCCGGUGUCUUGUGCGAGUGUGGACGGCUUUCUGACAGUUCGGGCGGACAGGGACUGCAGAGAGUGUGACAGUGGUCGGUGCAACUCUGGUCACAUCACGGUGAAGGAGCAUGUGUGUGGCCUGGACAUUGAACUGAUGGAUGUUAUGCUGUGUGGCCUGGGGGUUCUGUCACGUCUUUGGGGUGGCUGUUUAAGUCUAUGUUUGAUUUUUAUGUGGUUAUGAUCUUGUGGCUUUUUUUGUAUGACUGUUGGCAAAUCAAAUUGUAUUUUUACAUACUUGGCUAAUAAAUUCAUUACAAUUACAAAUUAC